rnacentral:rRNA from 1 species
UACGUAGGGCGCAAGCGUUGUCCGGAAUUAUUGGGCGUAAAGAGUUCGUAGGCGGUCUGUCGCGUCGGAUGUGAAAGCCCGGGGCUUAACCCCGGGUCUGCAUUCGAUACGGGCAGACUAGAGUGUGGUAGGGGAGAUCGGAAUUCCUGGUGUAGCGGUGAAAUGCGCAGAUAUCAGGAGGAACACCGGUGGUGAAGGCGGAUCUCUGGGCCAUUACUGACGCUGAGGAGCGAAAGCGUGGGGAGCGAACAGG